UCCAACUGUUCGCAGAGGGGGACGCCGAAGGCAGGGCUGAUGACUGGGGUGAAGUCGUAACAAGGUAGCCGUACCGGAAGGUGUGGCUGGAUCACCUCCUUUUAGGGAGACCUCCCACUCUGACCUGAAAGCAAAGAGUAAAUAGGGACAGAGCUGGUCAACCCAAGGUCGGUCAGGGAAUUAGCGCAGGCUUUCAAACUAAUCUAGGUUUGGUUCAUGGGCUAUUAGCUCAGGUGGUUAGAGCGCACCCCUGAUAAGGGUGAGGUCCCUGGUUCGAGUCCAGGAUGGCCCACCUUAACAGGAGUUGUGGGUUAACAGUUUUGAGCACUGAAUUAUUGAUUGAUUCGAAGUUCAGAACUUAAAAUUCAGAACUCUUGUGCAUGGGGGUUUAGCUCAGUUGGUAGAGCGCCUGCUUUGCAAGCAGGAUGUCAGCAGUUCGAGUCUGCUAACCUCCAGUGGCUAUAGAAAGCCAAGCCAGCGAUGGAAUGGUCAGCACCUUAUCUAGUUGGUCUAGAAAGGCUGCUGGGAUUAAUUCCAGCGAGAGGACCUUGAAAACUGCAUAGCGAGAAGUCAGGUAGAAGACUAGGGAAUAGGGAGGAGAGAAUAGGGAAUAGGAAAUAGUCCUAAGCGCUAUUCUGCUAACCCGACAACCUAGUAAGACACAGACACCAAUGAAAUUUUUAGUGGUCAAGCUAGAAAGGGCUCAUGGUG
rnacentral:misc_RNA from 1 species